rnacentral:rRNA from 1 species
GAUCAUGGCUCAGGAUGAACGCUGGCGGCGUGCCUAACACAUGCAAGUCGAGCGAAGCACUUUGCUUAGAUUCUUCGGAUGAAGAGGAUUGUGACUGAGCGGCGGACGGGUGAGUAACGCGUGGGUAACCUGCCUCAUACAGGGGGAUAACAGUUAGAAAUGACUGCUAAUACCGCAUAAGACCACAGCACCGCAUGGUGCGGGGGUAAAAAACUCCGGUGGUAUGGGAUGGACCCGCG